CAAAGGAAAUACAUUCAUUACCAAAAACAUCUACUCUGCUCCCAUAUUCGACUUCUUCUCUCUUUAUCGUUGCCUCUGUCCCCAAAAUUGUAACCAAUUCAGUGAUUCAGUCAGUUCUUUGAAUUAGUAUUAGGAAAUGCUCAAGGAACUAAUAAAGUUGGAAUUGUGUUCUAGGAGGUCCAUUUACUUUAGUCAGGUGUCAAGUGAGAAGUACAAAAGCUUGUGAUUUGGACUUGAAGAGAAGAGAACAUGCUGUAACAUACCAACUAGUACCAGGUCAAAGGGAAGUUCUCUAUCCUCAACCUUGUCGUGAUGUUAGGACACAAUACACUGUUGACAGGCUUCAAAGACUGUGCUGCACUUUGAGGGGGCCAUUUGAGUAGAUCUUCGACAUAGAUAGCUUAGUCUAUAUGCAGCUGAACAGUCAUAACCGUCAGACUUCUCUGUUUCAUCAACUCCUCUGAAUGAGUUUGCACCUUUCAACAAUCUUUUUAAAAUAAAGUGGGGCGGAAUUUCAUCAACCUCAAGCUUGCCGAGAACUUUAAGUACAUGCUUGCAAGGUAAACAUGAGAUAAUUUCUCUCCGAAUUUCUUUUUUAUAUGUCAAAAAUAUAAACGAUGGCGAGUGUUUGGGAAUACCUUCUUUACAGCAAAAGCCAUGGCAUCAUCUUGAUCGGUUAUAAUAGCAGAUGGAUGUUUUCCUCCCAUAGCUUCAAGCCAAAUACUAAAUAACCAUGAAAAUGUCACUUUGGUCUCGUCCUGUAAUGGUGCACAUCCAAACUGUAUGGUUUGAUAGUGGUCAUUCACCCCUGUAAAUGGAGCAAACAGCAUCUCAUAUUUGUUUGUCCGGUAUGUAGUAUCAAACAAAACUACCUCUCCAAACUGGUCAUAUGACAUUCCUGAUCGAGCAUCAACCUAGAAAAAAAUUACUGCUCUGCCUUGUUCGUCGAACCGCAUAAAAAAGUUGUGGAUUUUCAAUU